rnacentral:rRNA from 1 species
UACGUAGGGGGGCAAGCGUUGUCCGGAAUUAUUGGGCGUAAAGAGCUCGUAGGCGGUCUGUCGCGUCGGAUGUGAAAAUCCAGGGCUCAACCCUGGACCUGCAUUCGAUACGGGCAGACUAGAGUUCGGUAGGGGAGACUGGAAUUCCUGGUGUAGCGGUGAAAUGCGCAGAUAUCAGGAGGAACACCGGUGGCGAAGGCGGGUCUCCUGGGCCGAAACUGGACGCUGAGGAGCGAAAGCGUGGGGAGCAAACAGG